rnacentral:rRNA from 1 species
CAAUAGCGUAUAUUAAAGUUGUUGCAGUUAAAAAGCUCGUAGUUGGAUUUGUGGCGUACGGUGUGUUCCGGGCACUUGUUGUCUGAGUAACCUGCUGUUGCCAUCCUUGGGUGGAACCUGUGUGGCAUUAGGUUGUCGUGCAGGGGAUGCCCAUCAUUUACUGUGAAAAAAUUAGAGUGUUCAAAGCAGGCUUAUGCCGUUGAAUAUAUUAGCAUGGAAUAAUGAGAUAGGACUUUUUUGCUAUUUUGUUGGUUUGCGCAAGAAGGUAAUGAUUAAUAGGGACAGUUGGGGGUAUUCGUAUUCCAUUGUCAGAGGUGAAAUUCUUGGAUUUUUGGAAGACGAACUACUGCGAAAGCACUUACCAAGGAUGUUUUCAUUAA